rnacentral:rRNA from 1 species
UACGUAGGGGGCGAGCGUUGUCCGGAUCUAUUGGGCGUAAAGAGCGUGUAGGCGGCCAGGUAGGUCUGCUGUGAAAACUCGAGGCUCAACCUCGAGACGUCGGCGGAAACCAUCUGGCUAGAGUCCGGAAGAGGAGAGUGGAAUUCCUGGUGUAGCGGUGAAAUGCGUAGAUAUCUGGAGGAACACCGGUGGCGAAGGCGGCAUCCUGGACCAUUACUGACACUGAAAAGCGAAAGCCAGGGGAGCAAACGGG